GAAGGUAUAGCUCAGUGGUAGAGUGCAUGUUUAGCAUGUACGAAGCCCUGGAUUCAAUCCCCAGUACCGCCA
rnacentral:tRNA from 1 species